UAACACCUACGGGGGGCAGCAGUGAGGAAUAUUGGUCAAUGGUCGGGAGACUGAACCAGCCAAGCCGCGUGAGGGAUGAAGGUACAGAGUAUCGUAAACCUCUUUUGUCAGGGAACAAAGGCGGGGACGUGUCCCCGGAUGAGUGUACCUGAAGAAAAAGCAUCGGCUAACUCCGUGCCAGCAGCCGCGGUAAUACGGAGGAUGCGAGCGUUAUCCGGAUUUAUUGGGUUUAAAGGGUGCGCAGGCGGCCUGUUAAGUCAGCGGUAAAAUGCGUAG
rnacentral:rRNA from 1 species